rnacentral:rRNA from 1 species
UACAGAGGUGGCAAGCGUUGUUCGGAAUUACUGGGCGUAAAGGGCGCGUAGGCGGCCAUCUAAGUCAGACGUGAAAUCCCCCGGCUUAACCUGGGAACUGCGUCUGAUACUGGAAGGCUUGAGUAUGGGAGAGGGAUGUAGAAUUCCAGGUGUAGCGGUGAAAUGCGCAGAUAUCAGGAGGAACACCGGUGGCGAAGGCGGAUCUCUGGGCCAUUACUGACGCUGAGGAGCGAAAGCGUGGGGAGCGAACAGG